rnacentral:rRNA from 1 species
UACGUAGGGUGCGAGCGUUGUCCGGAAUUAUUGGGCGUAAAGGGCUCGUAGGCGGUUUGUCGCGUCGGGAGUGAAAACUCAGGGCUUAACCCUGAGCCUGCUUCCGAUACGGGCAGACUAGAGGUAUGCAGGGGAGAAUGGAAUUCCUGGUGUAGCGGUGAAAUGCGCAGAUAUCAGGAGGAACACCGGUGGCGAAGGCGGUUCUCUGGGAAUGUACUGACGCUGAGGAGCGAAAGUGUGGGGAGCGAACAGG